rnacentral:tRNA from 1 species
GCCGGUGUGGUGGAAUUGGCAGACACAAGGGACUUAAAAUCCCUCGCAAGCGCGUGCGGGUUCGAUCCCCGCCACCGGCACCA